rnacentral:rRNA from 1 species
UACGGAGGGUGCUAGCGUUGUUCGGAAUCACUGGGCGUAAAGGGCGUGUAGGCGGUCUGUUAAGUCUGAUGUGAAAUCCCCUCGCUCAACGAGGGAACUGCGUCGGAUACUGGCAGACUCGAGUACCGGAGAGGAAGGUGGAAUUCCCGGUGUAGCGGCGAAAUGCGUAGAUAUCGGGAGGAACACCGGUGGCGAAGGCGGCCUUCUGGACGGAUACUGACGCUGAGACGCGAAAGCGUGGGGAGCAAACAGG